rnacentral:rRNA from 1 species
GGAGUUUGGGCCGUGUCUCAGUCCCAAUGUGGCCGUUCACCCUCUCAGGCCGGCUAUUGAUCGUCGCUUUGGUAAGCCUUUACCCCACCAACUGGCUAAUCAAACGCGGGUCCAUCCAUAAGCAAAUCUCCUUUUCUCACUGUAUCAUGCGAUACUGUAAGCUUAUAGUGUAUUAGCAAAAAUUUCUCUCUGUUAUCCACUUCUUAUGGGCAGGUUACCCACGUGUUACUCACCCGUCCGCCACUAGAAUUCUUACCGCUUCAACCUAAGUCUCUGCUAUAAGAUUCCCGUUCGACUUGCAUGUGUUAAGCACGCCGCCAGCGUUCAUC